rnacentral:rRNA from 1 species
UACGUAGGUGCGAGCGUUGUCCGGAUUUACUGGGCGUAAAGAGCGCGCAGGCGGUCGUUCAAGUCGCGUGUGAAAGCCCCCGGCUCAACUGGGGAGGGUCACGCGAUACUGAUCGACUCGAAGGCAGGAGAGGGUAGUGGAAUUCCCGGUGUAGUGGUGAAAUGCGUAGAUAUCGGGAGGAACACCAGUGGCGAAGGCGACUACCUGGCCUGUUCUUGACGCUGAGGCGCGAAAGCUAGGGGAGCAAACGGG